GUCCACGCCGUAAACGAUGGGCACUAGGUGUGGGAGGUGUCGACUCCUCCUGUGCCGAAGCUAACGCAUUAAGUGCCCCGCCUGGGGAGUACGGCCGCAAGGCUAAAACUCAAAGGAAUUGACGGGGACCCCGCACAAGCAGCGGAGCAUGUGGUUCAAUUCGACGCAACGCGAAGAACCUUACCUGGGCUUGACAUGUGAGUGACAACCGUGGAAACACGGUCUCCCUUCGGGGCACUUUCACAGGUGGUGCAUGGCUGUCGU
rnacentral:rRNA from 1 species